rnacentral:lncRNA from 1 species
CAGGAGACUGAGACCCGGCCUGCACCCUCUUUCUUGUCUCUCAGGAUCAAGCUGAAGUGGGGGAAUGGCUCAGGAUCGGAAAUAAAUAUAUCACUUUGAAAGACUGCAGAAUUCUCUUGAAAGAAUUGGAGAACCUUGAGGUCUACACUUUCCUGCUGGAAAAGUGAGGCUCUUCCCCUUCUCUCCCAUGUCCUCCUUCCUACCAGGACCUAGGAUGCCACCCCAGGGCCUGGGGCUGAUCUGGGAGGGGAGAUCACGGCCGUUAUGUCACUAAAGCCCUGGGCAGGGGUAGGCAGAGCUUUGUGAAGUCAGCAGGGGGGCCCUGGAGGUCCACAGGUGCCCAGUGCUCCCGGCUGCAGCCUGUGCCUCCUGUCUCCUGCAGGCGCCUGAAGAAGCUCUCUAGGGAGGGCAGCUCCCAUCACCUUCCACGCCAAGUCCGCCCAGGGCCAGUGUACAAACCAGCACCUGCUAGGAACCACCGGCCACGUGGGGGGCGUGGGAAAGCUUCUCCCACCAGCUUCCAUGUGUCCCCACGGGCUCCCCCGGCUCCUCUGGCCUCCAUGCCGUCAUCAGUCCCGAAGACCUCCAUAGAGUCCCUUGGGUCUCCAUCAUCCCUGAGCUCCUCCCAGGCAUCAGAGCCUCUGUGUCCCCUGAAGCACCCUUCACACCGGCCACCUGCGAGCACCCUAUCACCAAACCCGACCAGCUCCACAGAAUCCUUGGGGUAUCUGUCAUCCCUCAGCUCCUCCCAGCCACCAGAGCCUUUGCGUCCCCUGAAGCACCCUUCACACAAGCCACAUGGGCGUUCCCCUCCCCGACGACGGAAUCCUGGCUGGGUGUCCUGGUCCGACUCCAUGCAGGCUGAUUCCGAAACUGACGCCAUAAUAUGCCCAAUGUGCAAGGCCCCUGAGCGCUCCUGUCCACACACCUGGUGGGUGCCUUCUAGCCCUCGAGUGAUCCGAGGCGUUGGUCGCUGCAGUGAUCCCAACCUGGGCCUCUCCUGGAGGCAGGAGGCUGCUAGAGCCUGGUGCCACUGCACCUCCUCACAGUACCCAUUCGAGCACCCUAAUCUUCCCACCCACCUACCAAAGGCUUCCUUCUAGGGAGACCCCACAUGCAGGCAGAUGGAGGCAGGGCUCACACUGGCCUCCAGGGCUGUGCAACUGGCAUAUUAUUUUGCACAUAACUUGGCUCAGGUUUGUGAGGUCUGAUUUUUAA